AUGAAAUUGGAUAUUGUUGACUUUCUAGGAGAAUGUCAAUUCAGGAUACCUAUUCUAUUCAACAGUUAUCAGUUUACUGUGGAGAAUGCAAAUAUCACCCAGGAAAAUGUCACCAGCAAUUUAAACCAGGCAGUCUGGAUAAAAGGCUGAGUCUUCUGCCUCCUGUGACAACCUUUCUGAGCCUCAGUUUCCUCACCAUAAAGGUGGGCCACACACGGAGGGGAAGGCUGAGACUCCUUCUGGAACAGAAGGCCAAGGCCAGAGUGGACUGCGGACACUGCACUGCUGCCUUCAUGAUCAGCAAGUGGCAUCCGUUGAGACUUGUGUGCCUAGCUGCAGCAGCUGGCACGGAAGGUGGAGGCAUUUUCUGCUAAGCCAAGACCAAAUGAAACAGAGUGCUUAACCCUUUAGAGGUUUACGACCAACACAGCCAGAUGUGGGGCAGAAUUUUAAGAGAAUUCGUGAGUUCACCAUUCGUGCUGUUUAAUAAUCAAUUGAAACAUAAAAGCAUUUGUCAUUGAAAAAUUGUUCACGGAGUAAGAGAUGAAUGGAUGGCAAGAUCCAGAUAAUUCUAGGUCCUGUAAUGAAAAAACUGAACAAAACCCCUCUCCAUCUGCUGAGAAGAGCUACCUUUUAAAUGGAGAUGAUACUUACUAGCUGUUUUACACUGGCUGAAUGUUUAAUUCAUUCAUUUAAUAGGAGAGCCUACCAUGUGAUCCUCAUUUACGGGAAUCAGGAUUCAGUGGCACACACGGCAUGUGAUCCCUGCCUUCACAGUGCUUCUACUUUGCUAGAAUGGAAGUGUUUCAUCCACAUUGAAGAAAAUCAUCAUUUGGAUGUGAAUUAGAGUGGAAUCUGGUCUUGGGAGAAGAGUUCCUGGCUCGGGGCCUCAACUGUAAGGUCAGCUUUUCAUUUAGGGAACAUUAGCCCCAGCGCCACUUUCCCUUUAAUUCCCUACUUCCCUCAGCCUGCACCACAAGAAGGACCCUGCGGCCUUUCUCUCCCAGUGGAUCUCCGGAAGGGAUCAGGACAAGGAGAAAGACGUAACCUCAGAUCUGAGAUUUGUUUGACAUACACACAACUUCCUUCCAACAGGAAAAACUCAGUUGCUUUUUUUUUCCUUCAAAGGAAAGACAGUUGGUAUUACCUUUGUCCUGUUUAGAUAUUGAAAUCCUAAAUUGAUUCAUAUAAAUUCUGGGUUUGGGAACCCAAGAAGAUUGUUUCUCAUUAGUGACAUUCUUCCUGGAAGGUCAGGCUGAGGAAUGGUAAAUAAACCUUCGGAU
rnacentral:lncRNA from 13 species